rnacentral:rRNA from 1 species
CCUACGGGGGGCAGCAGUGGGGAAUAUUGGACAAUGGGGGGAACCCUGAUCCAGCCAUGCCGCGUGGGUGAAGAAGGCCCUCGGGUUGUAAAGCACUUUCAGUGAGGAAGAACGCCUGGUGGUUAAUACCCAUCAGGAAAGACAUCACUCACAGAAGAAGCACCGGCUAACUCCGUGCCAGCAGCCGCGGUAAUACGGAGGGUGCGAGCGUUAAUCGGAAUUACUGGGCGUAAAGCGCGCGUAGGUGGCUUGAUAAGCCGGUUGUGAAAGCCCCGGGCUCAACCUGGGAACGGCAUCCGGAACUGUCAAGCUAGAGUGCAGGAGAGGAAGGUAGAAUUCCCGGUGUAGCGGUGAAAUGCGUAGAGAUCGGGAGGAAUACCAGUGGCGAAGGCGGCCUUCUGGACUGAAACUGACACUGAGGUGCGAAAGCGUGGGUAGCAAACAGGAUUAGAUACCCUAGUAGUC